UAGUAACCACUUUCAACAUUUCUGCAAAGCUAGAGAAGGGUUCCCAGUGCCGAUUCCGACACUGUGAAGAAGCCCUUGGCAGUGACACUGUGUGCUCAUUAUGGAGAGAGAGAAAAUGUUUAGACCCACUUUGCAGAUUUAGACACAUGGAAAUGCAGCAAAACUGCAGCAUUUCAUGCUUCUGGGAAACCCAACCUCUUGGUUGUGUGAAGAUCAGUUGUAUCUUUUACCACAGCAAACCCCGAAAUAUCAAUGGAUUAUUUUUGCCACCAAGUAGCAAUACCACCUUACAGAAAGAAAGUCAGGAAGGAAGCCCACCCCCAACCCAGAGUCAGGAACCUCUGAAACCCAUGGAGAACGUAUCAAGACCCAUUCAUCAUCCAUUAGUUUUAAAAACUAACUUUGAAGAGGAGGAGGAGGAGGAAGAGAAACCAAAUGAUGCUUCUAGCUUAUGGACAAAGACCCCUGAAGAAAUUGAAGAGAAAAGAGCAAUAAAGGAGAUGUGUUAUAAAUCUGGUGAAUACUAUAGAUUCCAUGCUCCUCCAGACAUUCCAUCAUCAAAAAGCAUAGCUCCUACAGUGGAGAAAGAGUUAGAAAAGCCUUUGGAAAAUGGCAGUGAAUUACAAGAAGGAGAUGGUCUUACAGUUCCAACAAAGUUUAGCCUAUUUGAAAGGGCAGGAGAGGCAAAAACAUCAUUGGAUAGGAAACCAAGGACUGACAUUGCUGCUUUUGAAAAUGGAGGAGGUGACUGCUAUGCUCCACAGAGGAUCAUCUUUCUUG
rnacentral:lncRNA from 1 species